CUCAGCUGCAAUUCUGAGGGGGGUUUGGGAGGCUUGUGCGAGGUCUCAGGCCUGUGUGGGGAGCUGGUGCCUCUUCCUGCCCGUAUCUUUCUCUUCCAAGGGCAGUGCUCCAAGGCAGGGACUGGAGAAGCCAAGGGGAGAGUCUAAAAGGGCUAGAGCAUUUUUAAAAAUAGACACAGGGUCUUGGGACUGGGGUUUCGGAU
rnacentral:lncRNA from 1 species